AGCUUUGCGCAGUGGCAGUAUCAUAGCCAAUGAGGUUUAUCUGAGGCGUGAUUAUUGCUAAUAGAAAUAGCCUGUAUAAAUACAUUAGAAAUAUUAACAACAUUCCAUCUCUAGGACAACAAAGUCCGCUCAAUACUCCCCAAGAAGUUCCUGGAAAAUGAUGUGACCUAAAGCUCAACUCAU
rnacentral:snRNA from 1 species